GGAUCUGACCCUAGUACGAGAGGACCGGGUUGGACGAACCUCUGGUGUGUCAGUUGUUCCGCCAGGAGCACCGCUGAUUAGCUACGUUCGGGAUGGAUAACCGCUGAAAGCAUCUAAGCGGGAAGCCGGCCUCAAGAUGAGACUUCCAUGCCUUCGGGCGAGAGGCUCCCAGCCAGACUACUGGGUUGAUAGGCCGGAUGUGGAAGCGCGGUAACGCGUGAAGCUGACCGGUACUAAUAAGCCGAUGACUUGAUAAC
rnacentral:rRNA from 1 species